UCCACAAUAGAGAAAGAAGAAAUGUAAACUUCUGAGUUAUUUGAGUGCUCCCCAAAGCUUUCUAAGGCUGGUAAAAGGAAGAAGGGUUUGAAGAAGAAGCGUAUGGUAUCACCGGUAGAGUCCGGCAUUUUUCUUCGAUGAACCGGCGGACAGCGAUAUUUGUCGCAUGAAUACACAUCAUCGGUGUCCAAAUUUCUUCACCCCUGGUGCAAAUCCUGUCCCCUUGGAUGCUUUGGACGAUCUUUCCUUUCCCCCUUUUAACGCAGAAGAAGAAGCGCGCAGAACCCUUAUUGUCGGUAAAGAACUGGAUUUGUCAUUCACGGUUCCUGAUGAUAAAGUGGUCCAGAUUUUUCUUAAGCAAAUCCAAGAGCAAUUGGAGGCUUACAAGGGCUUAACUUGAGUAUUUUUUUUUUUUUCAAUGUUUCUUUCAUUUUGGGUAUUGUUAUUGCAGGUUUUAUUUUGCUGUUCUUUUUGGUCUGCCUGCUUUUGGGUCUACGGUCCCUUUAUAUGAUCUUCUUGUGGUUUAGGUCUCUUCUGGAUAUGGGUUUGGUUUUUGUAGUUUCGAUGUUACCUUUGGGUUGCUCACAUGAUUCUGCCCUUAUGCUUGCUGAUUGGGUGAUUGAAGUAUCUUUUUCGCUCUCCUUCAGUUGCUCCUUGGGUUUUUUGGGUUUCUUGGUUGCUUGCUGCUAGUGUGUUGUUCUUCUGCCUUUUUGGUCCAGUUCUCCUUGUUGCUGGGUUCGUUUGAGUUGUCUUGUGGACGCUAGCUCCUUUUGUGUUGUGGUUUAGCAUCUCUUUUU
rnacentral:misc_RNA from 1 species